rnacentral:rRNA from 1 species
UUAAAUUAUUAAGAGCGCAUGGCGAAUGCCUUGGCACUAGAAGCUGAUGAAGGACGUGACGAACAACGAUAUGCUUCGGGGAGCUGUAAGUAGCUUUGAUCCGGAGAUUUCCGAAUGGGGAAACCCACUGAUAGUAAUGUGUCAGUAUCAUACAGUGAAUUCAUAGCUGUAUGAGAUGAACCCGGUGAACUGAAACAUCUUAGUAGCCGGAGGAGUAGAAAGAAAAAUCGAUUCCCUUAGUAGUGGCGAGCGAAAGGGGAACAGCCCAAACCAAUCUUCGGAUUGGGGUUGUAGGACUUCUCAUUAAGAGUAAAAAAUUCAUAAUAUAGUUGAAGUAUCUGGAAAGAUACACCGUAGUAGGUGAUAGUCCUGUAAAUGAAAUAUUAUGAACUCUGAGGAGUAUCCUGAGUAGGGCGGGGCACGUGAAACCCUGUCUGAAUCUGCGGGGCCCAUCCCGUAAGGCUAAAUACUCUCUAGUGACCGAUAGUGAACAAGUACCGUGAGGGAAAGGUGAAAAGAACCCCGGGAGGGGAGUGAAAUAGAAUACUGAAACCAUGUGCUUACAAGAAGUCAAAGCCCGUUAAUGGGUGAUGGCGUGCCUUUUGCAGAAUGAACCGGCGAGUUAUUGUUGCAUGCAAGGUUAAGUUGAAGAGACGGAGCCGAAGCGAAAGCGAGUCUGAAUAGGGCGCUUUAGUAUGCAGUAAUAGACCCGAAACCGAGUGAUCUAUCCUUGAGCAGGUUGAAGUGGUGGUAACACACCAUGGAGGACCGAACCGACGUCUGUGAAAAAGGCGCGGAUGACUUGAGGAUAGCGGAGAAAUUCCAAUCGAACUCGGAGAUAGCUGGUUCUCCCCGAAAUAGGUUUAGGCCUAGCCUUCUAAUUAGUUACCUGGAGGUAGAGCACUGAAUGUAAGAUGGCGGCGUAUAGCUGUACUGAUUGCAAUCAAACUCCGAAUGCCAGGCUAAUAUGUAGAGGAGUCAGUGUAUGGGUGAUAACGUCCAUACGCGAGAGGAAAACAAUCCAGACCGCCAGUUAAGGUCCCAAAAUUUAUGCUAAGUGGGAAAGGAUGUGGAGUCGCUAGAACAGCUAGGAGGUUGGCUUAGAAGCAGCCAUCCUUUAAAGAGUGCGUAAUAGCUCACUAGUCGAGUGGCACUGCGCCGAAGAUGUACCGGGGCUAAAGCAUAAUACCGAAACUGCGGAUUACUUUGUAAUGGUAGGGGAGCGUUCUAAGUGCGCUGAAGGUUGAUCGUAAGGACAGCUGGAGCGCUUAGAAGUGAGAAUGCCGGUAUGAGUAGCGCAAGACGUGUGAGAAUCACGUCCACCGUUUGCCCAAGGUUUCCUGGGUCAAGUUCGUCUUCCCAGGGUUAGUCGGGUCCUAAGGCGAGGCCGAAAGGCGUAGUCGAUGGACAACAGGUUGAUAUUCCUGUACCACCUAUAUGACUGAUGGAGUGACGAAGGAGGCUAACAAGUGCCUGUUAUUGGAUUCAGGUCUAAGCACAAAGGCUUAUAUGUAGGGAAAUCCGCAUAUUGGUAGGCUGAAGUGUGAUGGCGAAAAAAGUAGCAAUACAAUUGAAGACUUGUGACGCCAAACUUCCAAGAAAAGCUUCUAGGGUUAAUCGUAUAGGUGCCCGUACCGAGAACCGCCACAGGUGGGCAAGGAGAGUAUCCUAAGGUGAGCGAGAGAACUAUGGUUAAGGAACUCGGCAAAAUAACCCCGUAACUUAGGGAGAAGGGGUGGUCUAGCGAUAGACCCGCAGUAAAGACGUCCAGGCAACUGUUUACCAAAAACACAGGUCUCUGCAAAGCCGUAAGGCGAAGUAUAGGGGCUGACACCUGCCCAGUGCUGGAAGGUUAAUAGGAGAGGUUAGUAUUUGACUUUGUCAACAUGAUACGAAGCUUUGAAUUGAAGCCCCAGUGAACGGCGGCCGUAACUAUAACGGUCCUAAGGUAGCGAAAUUCCUUGUCAGGUAAGUUCUGACCCGCACGAAAGGUGUAAUGAUCUGGAUACUGUCUCAACCAUAGGCUCGGUGAAAUUUUAAUACCUGUGAAAAUGCAGGUUACCCGCGACAGGACGGAAAGACCCCAUGGAGCUUUACUGUAGCUUGAUAUUGAAAUUUGAUAUUCUUUGUAGAGGAUAGGUGGUAGACUUUGAUACUAGGACGCCAGUUCUAGUGGAGUCGCCUUUGGAAUACCACCCUUGGAAUAUUAGAUUUCUAACCUAGGACCGUAAUCCGGUUCGGGGACAGUGUCUGGUGGGCAGUUUGACUGGGGCGGUCGCCUCCCAAAGAGUAACGGAGGCGCCCAAAGGUUCCCUCAGAAUGGUUGGAAAUCAUUCGCAGAGUGUAAAGGUAUAUAGGUAGCUUAACUGCGAGACUUACAAGUCAAGCAGAUACGAAAGUAGGGCUUAGUGAUCAGGCGAUUCAGUAUGGAAUGGUCGUCGCUUAACGGAUAAAAGUUACCCUGGGGAUAACAGGCUGAUACCACCCAAUAGUUCACAUAGACGGUGGUGAUUGGCACCUCGAUGUCGGCUCGUCACAUCCUGGAGGUGGAUUCGCUUCCAAGGGUUGGGCUGUUCGCCCAUUAAAGUGGCACGCGAGCUGGGUUCAGAACGUCGUGAGACAGUUCGGUCCCUAUCCGUCGUGGGCGUAGGAAAAUUGAGAGGAGUUGUUCUUAGUACGAGAGGACCAGAAUGAACAUACCUCUGGUGUAUCUGUUGUCACGCCAGUGGCAGUGCAGAGUAGCUAUGUAUGGAAAGGAUAAACGCUGAAAGCAUCUAAGCGUGAAGCCUCCCUCAAGAUGAGUUUUCCCAUUGUUUACAAGUAAGAUCCCAGAAAGACUAUCUGGUUGAUAGGUCAGAGGUGGAAGCAUAGUGAUAUGUUGAGCUGACUGAUACUAAUAGAUCGAGGAUUUAACCCU